rnacentral:misc_RNA from 1 species
UCCGGUUUGUCACCGGCAGUCUCGUUAAAGUGCCCAACUAAAUGAUGGCAAUUAACGACAAGGGUUGCGCUCGUUGCGGGACUUAACCCAACAUCUCACGACACGAGCUGACGACAGCCAUGCAGCACCUGUGUUCCGAUUCCCUUUCGGGCACUCCCACCUUUCAGCGGGAUUCCGGACAUGUCGAGGGUAGGUAAGGUUGUUCGCGUUGCAUCGAAUUAAUCCACAUCAUCCACCGCUUGUGCGGGUCCCCGUCAAUUCCUUUGAGUUUUAAUCUUGCGACCGUACUCCCCAGGCGGUCAACUUCACGCGUUAGCUGCGGUACCAAGUCAAUUAAGACCCGACAACUAGUAGACAUCGUUUAGGGCGUGGACUAC